UAUAUAUAUAUAUAUAUAUAAAGAAAGUGAUGAGAAUACGGAGCGUACAGUAGUACAUAUAUAAGAAGAAGUAUCUGAAAUAAUCACAUGAUACGGAUCUUCUCCAACAAGUUUCACUUUAAUCU